rnacentral:rRNA from 1 species
AGAAUCAACGCUGGCGGCGUGCCUAACACAUGCAAGUCGCACGAGAAAGGGUAGCAAUACCUGAGUAAAGUGGCGCACGGGUGAGUAACACGUGAAUAAUCUACCUCCGAGUGGGGAAUAACUGAGAGAAAUCUUAGCUAAUACCGCAUAACACUUACGAGUCAAAGCAGUAAUGCGCUUGGAGAGGAGUUCGCGGCAGAUUAGCUAGUUGGCGGGGUAAUGGCCCACCAAGGCGAUGAUCUGUAUCCGGCCUGAGAGGGCGCACGGACACACUGGAACUGAAACACGGUCCAGACUCCUACGGGAGGCAGCAGUGGGGAAUUUUGCGCAAUGGGGGAAACCCUGACGCAGCAACGCCGCGUGGAGGAUGAAAUCCCUUGGGAUGUAAACUCCUUUCGAUAGGGAAGAUAAUGACGGUACCUAUAGAAGAAGCCCGGCUAACUUCGCGCCAGCAGCCGC